UGAGUACGAGCUGCUACGGCAGCGAAGUGGGUGAUGUCAAGCUUCCAAGAAAAGCCCUAUACCCGUUAAGGCAUGACGGCCUGUACCCGAAACCGACACAGGUGGGGUGGUAGAGAAUACCGAGGGGCGCGAGAUAACUCUCUCUAAGGAACUCGGCAAAAUGGCCCCGUAACUUCGGGAGAAGGGGUGCCACCGCAAGGUGGUCGCAGUGAAGAGGCCCAGGCGACUGUUUACCAAAAACACAGGUCUCCGCUAAGUCGCAAGACGAUGUAUGGGGGCUGACGCCUGCCCAGUGCCGGAAGGUUAAGGAAGCUGGUCAGCGCAAGCGAAGCUAGCGACUGAAGCCCCGGUGAACGGCGGCCGUAACUAUAACGGUCCUAAGGUAGCGAAAUUCCUUGUCGGGUAAGUUCCGACCCGCACGAAAGGCGUAACGAUCUGGGCGCUGUCUCGGAGAGAGGCUCGGCGAAAUAGAAUUGUCUGUGAAGAUGCGGACUACGUGCACCCGGACAGAAAGACCCUAUGAAGCUUUACUGUAGCUUGGUAUUGUGCCCGGGCUCUGAAUGCGCAGGAUAGGUGGGAGGCUUUGAUCCAUUGCUUGUGGGUGAUGGUGAGCCACUGGUGAGAUACCACUCUUUCAGAGCUAGGGUUCUAACGGUCACCCGUUAUCCGGGGACCGGACAGUAUCAGGUGGGCAGUUUGACUGGGGCGGUCGCCUCCUAAAAGGUAACGGAGGCGCGCAAAGGUUCCCUCAGGCUGGUUGGAAAUCAGCCGACGAGUGUAAAGGCAGAAGGGAGCUUGACUGUGAGACCUACAAGUCGAACAGGGACGAAAGUCGGCCUUAGUGAUCCGACGGUUCUGAGUGGAAGGGCCGUCGCUCAACGGAUAAAAGUUACUCUAGGAUAACAGGCUGAUCUCCCCCAAGAGUUCACAUCGACGGGGAGGUUUGGCACCUCGAUGUCGGCUCAUCGCAACCUGGGGCUGAAGUCGGUCCCAAGGGUUGGGCUGUUCGCCCAUUAAAGCGGUACGCGAGCUGGGUUCAGAACGUCGUGAGACAGUUUGUCCAUAUCCGGUGCACGCGCAGGAACAUUGAGAGGAUUUCUCCCUAGUACGAGAGGACCGGGAGGAACGCACCUCUGGUGUACCAGUUAUCGUGCCAACGGUAAACGCUGGGUAGCCAUGUGCGGAGCGGAUAACCGCCGAAAGCAUCUAAGUGGGAAGCCCACCUCAAGAUGAGUGUUCCCAUGGCAUAAGCCAGUAAGGUCACGGGAAGAACACCCGUUGAUAGGCUCUACGUGGAAGCGUGGCAACACGUGAAGCGGAGGAGUACUAAUAGACCGAGGGCUUGAC
rnacentral:rRNA from 1 species